ensembl:lncRNA
UUGAGAUUGGUUGAUUAAUUGACUAGUUGCGGAUAAGGAAAUUAAAUACAAGGUACACUGAUAAUUUCUAAAAAAAUUUAAUGUCAGAAAUAUACUGCAUUUUUAUAAUUUACUCUAAAAUAUGCAUGUUUUCAAGCUGAGUUUAAUAAAUGGAUAUUCAUUUAAUGCUCAUUGCUAUUUGGCAGCUUAACUGUAGUUUAAAAGCCUUGAAAAAUCCUCAAAAACCUAAAAUGGGAAAGCUAAACUAAAGAACACAGGAAACAUGGAAAAUGUUGCAAAAACCUUACAACCUUGAACGAGGAACAUAAGACAUGAAAACAUCAGGGAGGGAACACAGAUGAUAACACAGGAGAGAAUACAGACGAUCCGACAAAGAACACACUAAAUAUACACACACAAAAGGAAACGAGGAAUUGGCAGACAGGCACGAAACACAGCUGACACUAAUCAGAUGAGAAGAGACCAGGAGGAGAAUACACCGAUGCAGGGCAGGGACUAUCAAAGUAAAACAGGAAUAAACACGAAUAUCGAACCAGGGACAAUACACUGAAGACAAGGGAGGUACAGAGAACACCUAAACACUGGAAAUAAUUAACAAAUAACUAGGAAACUAACUGACACAAUGAAUAUUAAUAAACACAAACAACCAAGGAGACUGCGGACCAUGACAAUUGGUUUAUUUAAAACAAAAGUUUAAAAAAAUACAAAAUGUUGUUUUCUCUAGUAGAAGAAAUUAAACACUAUCAGAAUAUUCUUUAUAAAUAGAUAGCAUUGUUGUGGAUUAUAAGGAAUAAGCAUUAACAUAUCUACUGUUAAGCUGUAAAAACAAGUAGACAUCUAACAUGAAUAUUUUAUAUGAUUAUUUUCAAAGAUAUUAAAGUAUAUAGUCAGUCUCACCUUACAGAUUUUUGUGUCCUAAUCGAUCCGCUGCAUCGUCCAUUGGCAAGGUGGUCGGAGUGUGUUCGAAGAAUGUGAUACCAAAAUUAGCUGUAAACACGAUAUUCUUUGACACAUCCAUCUAUGCCACAAUCUUCACGGAAAUCUGGACUAUGGCUAUGUGCAGAAUUAAUAUGACUCAGUAGGGAUUUGAGGGUCAGACCCACAAAAACGAUGUAGAUAACACAGCGCCAAAUCAUUUUGUUUUACUGGUCUGUGAACUACUUUUCCCAUAAAGUCAAGAUAACCAGGAUUAUUCCAUUAUGGGGUAGAAAUGGCUAUCCUAAUUCAGUGCCUUAUAACAGCUGUAGUAUAAAAGAGCGAACUAAACCAUUUCCGUACACAACCCCAUACUCCUGAGUUGGUACAGCCCACCUUCCCGCCUCUAGCUCCGUGCCUAAGCGGUUGGAUUGCAGGAUUUUGGGGUCUGGGUGUAGAUGCGAUACAGUUGGUACAGUGUGAAGAAAUUAAGGCACGCUAUGGAAAAACUGGACGAAAUAACAAUUGCCAAUCUGAAAGGUAUGUGACUGUUUUGUUUUUUCUAUGUUUUGUGUUCUGGUAUGUUGCAUGUUAAGUCGCUAGCAUGGCAGGCUAUACCCGGUUGUUAGCUUAGCUUAGCUGUGCGGUUAGCUUAGUUGCAUUAGCAUUUUUAAAUAUGCUAGUGCAGAAAGUUAUGAAAGAAUUCAUGUCCAGUUAUUAGUUUCAGUGUCUGUGAAUUUAUUCAACAAGUGUGCAAAGUGCCAUAAGUUAAUGCCAGUUUUACAGAAAUUGUAGGAGUUUCAAAUUUCUAUUAGUGAAGUUAUUUCAUUAUAUACUUUAGCCCAGGAAGCAAAAAAAAAAAAAAAUACAUUUAUAUGUAUACAUGCAUUUAAUUGAUGUAUCACAAAUAUAUUACUUUUACCAGUCAAUAGGAGGAAGGUAAUUUAGAACCUGUGGAGCAGUGAGGAGGGAGAAUAAUGGAAUAGAGUCAUGGUUUUAAAUGGUAAAUAUUAAAUUAUGUUUCCUAUGUAUCCUGUCUGUUACCCAAGCAAAGCUGUCAGCUGGCUUGCACAUGAGGAUGAUGCAAUGUAGUGAUAAUUGGAAACUCCUAUUGCAGAAGCAAAUGUUGGAGAAGACCUGCUCUCAUCACUUUCACGAGAUGACAUCAAAGAUCUGUUUCCUGGUCCUGAACAUUGCCUCAGGCGUCGGGCUCUAUGGCUUGCAGUGCACAAAUGUGAAGAAAACAAGACUGCUGCUGAAAAAACGCUAACAACUACUGGAGAUGGUGACUUCUUCAGAGAGGAACCCAGCACUUACCUCCAUCCAAAAACUUUGGAUGGAGUGGAACAUGCAGCAGCUGUGUUCAGAGCCCUUCCCAUGCUUUUCCCUUCCAGCACAGUACCACCUAAGAAGCUGGGCAUCUGUAGUGAGGCUUUUUUCCAUGUCCUAAAGACUUCAGAAGACCCUGAAGGCUACCUGCGUCAGCGACCCCUGGCUUGUCCAGUUCUGCUUGUCUCUGAAGGCAACUGCAUGAUAGCUGUUGGAACCACACCGGUGAGCACUUUUGACCGGAAGGAUCUUAAUGAGGGACUGCUCUAUCUGAUGGCAUAUUACUAUGCCCUCCACCUCACAUAUCCAUAGUGCAUUUCCACGCUGCUGUCUGUCUUGCAAACUGAAAUACUCAAAGACUCCAUCCAUGACCGAGAUUCAACCCCCUCUUACAAGAAGGCGCUUGGUGAGUGGAAGUCAUUCAUUGAGUGAGUCUCCCAGAUGACAGACUCCAUCUGCCUUGUUUAUCAGACUCAGUGUUAGUCAGUGAGGUUGUUUUUUUUUCUAUAGAAAAGUUGUUCAAAUGUAAAACACAUGUUUGUUUGUGUGGUCGUUAAACUUGUUCUUCUAAAAUGUUAUGUAAUAUAGGAUUUGAAAUAGUGAUUGUUUUAAGCUUCAGCAAAAUUUAUUUUUGAUACCAGCCAUGAGUGUGUUAUACUGUUAUUAUUCAUUUUAAGAGUAUCUGGAAUAUGCACUUCUUAUAUUGGCCAUGUUACACAGUACCCUGCUGAAAUGUAUAAUUUUAGGCAUGAUUCUCCUGGAACAGACCUCAGUGAGUUACUGACCCAUUGCUGUGUCAAUAAAAGCG